rnacentral:rRNA from 1 species
GACGAACGCUGGCGGCGUGCCUAAUACAUGCAAGUCGAGCGGAUGGAUGGGAGCUUGCUCCCUGAAGUCAGCGGCGGACGGGUGAGUAACACGUGGGCAACCUGCCCCUAAGAUCGGGAUAACUUCGGGAAACCGGAGCUAAUACCGGAUAUGAUUAUGUCUCACAUGAGACAUAAUGGAAAGACGGUUUCGGCUGUCACUUAGGGACGGGCCCGCGGCGCAUUAGCUAGUUGGUGAGGUAACGGCUCACCAAGGCGACGAUGCGUAGCCGACCUGAGAGGGUGAUCGGCCACACUGGGACUGAGACACGGCCCAGACUCCUACGGGAGGCAGCAGUAGGGAAUCUUCCGCAAUGGACGAAAGUCUGACGGAGCAACGCCGCGUGAGUGAAGAAGGUUUUCGGAUCGUAAAACUCUGUUGUUAGGGAAGAACAAGUACCAUAGUAACUGAUGGUACCUUGACGGUACCUAACCAGAAAGCCACGGCUAACUACGUGCCAGCAGCCGCAGUAA